UACGUAGGGUGCAGGCGUUAAUCGGAAUUACUGGGCGUAAAGCGUGCGCAGGCGGUCUGCUAAGAGAGAUGUGAAAUCCCCGGGCUUAACCUGGGAACUGCGUUUCUAACUGGCAGGCUUGAGUGUGGCAGAGGGGGGGUGGAAUUCCACGUGUAGCAGUGAAAUGCGUAGAGAAUGUGGAGGAACACCGAUGGCGAAGGCAGCCCCCCUGGGCUA
rnacentral:rRNA from 1 species